rnacentral:rRNA from 1 species
CCUACGGGUGACAGCAGUGAGGAAUAUUGGUCAAUGGACGAGAGUCUGAACCAGCCAAGUAGCGUGAAGGAUGACUGCCCUAUGGGUUGUAAACUUCUUUUAUAUGGGAAUAAAAUGUUCCACGUGUGGGAUUUUGUAUGUACCAUAUGAAUAAGGAUCGGCUAACUCCGUGCCAGCAGCCGCGGUAAUACGGAGGAUCCGAGCGUUAUCCGGAUUUAUUGGGUUUAAAGGGAGCGUAUGUGGAUUGUUAAGUCAGUUGUGAAAGUUUGCGGCUCAACCGUAAAAUUGCAGUUGAAACUGGCAGUCUUGAGUACAGUAGAGGUGGGCGGAAUUCGUGGUGUAGCGGUGAAAUGCUUAGAUAUCACGAAGAACUCCGAUUGCGAAGGCAGUUCACUGGACUGCAACUGACACUGAGGCUCGAAAGUGUGGGUAUCAAACAGGAUUAGAUACCCCUGUAGUC